rnacentral:rRNA from 1 species
CAGCAGCCGCGGUAAAACGAAGAGGGCUAGCGUUGUUCGGAUUUACUGGGCGUAAAGCGCACGUAGGCGGACUUUUAAGUCAGGGGUGAAAUCCCGGGGCUCAACCCCGGAACUGCCUUUGAUACUGGAAGUCUUGAGUAUGGUAGAGGUGAGUGGAAUUCCGAGUGUAGAGGUGAAAUUCGUAGAUAUUCGGAGGAACACCAGUGGCGAAGGCGGCUCACUGGACCAUUACUGACGCUGAGGUGCGAAAGCGUGGGGAGCAAACAGGAUUAGAUACCCCAGUAGUCCCUGUCUCUUAUAC